rnacentral:rRNA from 1 species
AGUGAACGCUGGCGGUAGGCCUAACACAUGCAAGUCGAACGGCAGCACAGUAAGAGCUUGCUCUUACGGGUGGCGAGUGGCGGACGGGUGAGGAAUACAUCGGAAUCUACUUUUUCGUGGGGGAUAACGUAGGGAAACUUACGCUAAUACCGCAUACGACCUACGGGUGAAAGCAGGGGAUCUUCGGACCUUGCGCGAUUGAAUGAGCCGAUGUCGGAUUAGCUAGUUGGCGGGGUAAAGGCCCACCAAGGCGACGAUCCGUAGCAGGUCUGAGAGGAUGAUCAGCCACACUGGAACUGAGACACGGCCCAGACUCCUACGGGAGGCAGCAGUGGGGAAUAUUGGACAAUGGGCGCAAGCCUGAUCCAGCCAUACCGCGUGGGUGAAGAAGGCCUUCGGGUUGUAAAGCCCUUUUGUUGGGAAAGAAAAGCAGCAGGUUAAUACCCCGCUGUUCUGACGGUACCCAAAGAAUAAGCACCGGCUAACUUCGUG